rnacentral:rRNA from 1 species
GUAACAAGGUCUCCGUUGGUGAACCAGCGGAGGGAUCAUUACCGAGUUUACAACUCCCAAACCCCUGUGAACAUACCUUAUGUUGCCUCGGCGGAUCAGCCCGCGCCCCGUAAAAAGGGACGGCCCGCCGCAGGAACCCUAAACUCUGUUUUUAGUGGAACUUCUGAGUAUAAAAAACAAAUAAAUCAAAACUUUCAACAACGGAUCUCUUGGUUCUGGCAUCGAUGAAGAACGCAGCAAAAUGCGAUAAGUAAUGUGAAUUGCAGAAUUCAGUGAAUCAUCGAAUCUUUGAACGCACAUUGCGCCCGCCAGUAUUCUGGCGGGCAUGCCUGUUCGAGCGUCAUUUCAACCCUCAAGCCCAGCUUGGUGUUGGGAGCUGCAGUCCUGCUGCACUCCCCAAAUACAUUGGCGGUCACGUCGAGCUUCCAUAGCGUAGUAAUUUACACAUCGUUACUGGUAAUCGUCGCGGCCACGCCGUUAAACCCCAACUUCUGAAUGUUGACCUCGGAUCAGGUAG